AGUGAACGCUGGCGGCGUGCUUAACGCAUGCAAGUCGAACGAGAACGGAAUAUAGCUUGCUAUAUUUGUCAGCUAAGUGGCGCACGGGUGAGUAAUGUAUAGAUAACCUGCCCUUAAGAAAGGAAUAACAGUUGGAAACGACUGCUAAUGCCCUAUAUGCCUUUAAUACAUAAGUAUGCAAGGGAAACGCUUUAGUGCUUAAGGAUGGGUCUGUAUGGUAUCAGCUUGUUGGUGAGGUAAUGGCUCACCAAGGCUAUGACGCCUAACUGGUUUGAGAGAAUGAGCAGUCACACUGGAACUUGGACACGUUCCAUACUCCUACGGGAGGCAGCAGUGGGGAAUAUUGCACAAUGGACGAAAGUCUGAUGCAGCAACGCCGCGUGGAGGAUGACACAUUUCGGUGCGUAAGCUCCUUUUAUAUAGGAAGAUAAUGACGGUACUAUAUGAAUAAGCACCGGCUAACUCCGUGCCAGCAGCCGCCGUAA
rnacentral:rRNA from 1 species